UACGAAGGGGGCUAGCGUUGUUCGGAAUUACUGGGCGUAAAGCGCGCGCAGGCGGCUAUCCAAGUCAGUGGUGAAAGCCCGGAGCUCAACUCCGGAACUGCCAUUGAAACUGUUUAGCUUGAGGACGAGAGAGGUGAGUGGAAUUCCCAGUGUAGAGGUGAAAUUCGUAGAUAUUGGGAAGAACACCAGCGGCGAAGGCGGCACUCUGGGCCGGAACUGACGCUGAGGAGCGAAAGCGUGGGUAGCAAACAGG
rnacentral:rRNA from 1 species